rnacentral:rRNA from 1 species
CCUACGGGGCGCAGCAGUGAGGAAUAUUGGUCAAUGGACGAGAGUCUGAACCAGCCAAGUAGCGUGAAGGAUGACUGCCCUAUGGGUUGUAAACUUCUUUUAUAUGGGAAUAAAACGUUCCACGUGUGGGAUUUUGUAUGUACCAUAUGAAUAAGAAUCGGCUAACUCCGUGCCAGCAGCCGCGGUAAUACGGAGGAUCCGAGCGUUAUCCGGAUUUAUUGGGUUUAAAGGGAGCGUAGGUGGAUUGUUAAGUCAGUUGUGAAAGUUUGCGGCUCAACCGUAAAAUUGCAGUUGAAACUGACAGUCUUGAGUACAGUAGAGGUGGGCGGAAUUCGUGGUGUAGCGGUGAAAUGCUUAGAUAUCACGAAGAACUCCGAUUGCGAAGGCAGUUCACUGGACUGCAACUGACACUGAGGCUCGAAAGUGUGGGUAUCAAACAGGAUUAGAUACCCCAGUAGUC